AAUCAACGCUGGCGGCGUGCCUCAGACAUGCAAGUCGAACGCGAAAUUUCCCUUCGGGGAGAAAGUAGAGUGGCGCACGGGUGAGUAACACGUGGGUAAUUUACCUUCGGGUGGGGAAGUAACGUCUCGAAAGAGACGCUAAUACCGCAUGAUGCAGCGGCACCACAUGGUGACAGUUGUUAAAGCGGGGGAUCGCAAGACCUCGCGCCUGAAGAGAAGCCCGCGGCAGANAGCUAGUUGGUAAGGUAAUGGCUUACCAAGGCAACGAUCUGUAGCGGCCUGAGAGGGCGGUCGGCCACACUGACACUG
rnacentral:rRNA from 1 species